UACGUAGGGGCCGAGCGUUGUCCGGAGUUAUUGGGCGUAAAGCGCGCGCAGGCGGCUUCGCGCGCCCGCCCGUGAAAGCCCCCGGCUUAACCGGGGAGAGUCGGUGGGGACGGCGGAGCUUGAGGGCGGGAGAGGUCGGUGGAAUUCCCGGUGUAGUGGUGAAAUGCGUAGAGAUCGGGAGGAACACCUGUGGCGAAGGCGGCCGACUGGGCCGACCCUGACGCUGAGGCGGCGAAAGGCGU
rnacentral:rRNA from 1 species